rnacentral:rRNA from 1 species
UGGGGAAUAUUGCACAAUGGGGGAAACCCUGAUGCAGCAACGCCGCGUGCGGGAUGACGGCCUUCGGGUUGUAAACCGCUUUCAGCCAUGACGAAGCUUUUGUGACGGUAGUGGCAGAAGAAGCACCGGCUAACUACGUGCCAGCAGCCGCGGUGAUACGUAGGGUGCGAGCGUUGUCCGGAAUUAUUGGGCGUAAAGAGCUUGUAGGCGGUUUGUCGCGUCGAAAGUGUAAACUCAGUGCUUAACGCUGAGCCUGCUUUCGAUACGGGCUGACUAGAGGAAGGUAGGGGAGAAUGGAAUUCCCGGUGGGGCGGGGGAAUGCGCAGAUAGCGGGAGGAACACCAGUGGCGAAGGCGGUUCUCUGGACCUUUCCUGACGCUGAGAAGCGAAAGCGUGGGUAGCAAACAGG